rnacentral:lncRNA from 1 species
AGCUUUGGGAGAAGAGGGGUCUCUGGCGGCGGCUUGGGGAGGAGCUAGGUUUGGGCUUGGAGUUGGGCCCUGAAUGGCGCUUUGCUGUGAAUCUCCGCGGGGAGGCUCUUCCAACCAGGGGCUGAGCUUCUGCGCUGUGGAGAAGCCAGGCUCCUGAUGUCUUAUUGGGGGCCAUAUCUAGAGUGAUGCCCUAGUUCGCGUGGCUGAAGAUGGCUUGCCACCCUACCUGCUGAUUGCAUUCUGACUGAACAGCGCGACACAAAUCACUCUGUGGAUAAGAAUCACCAGGAGACUUCCUGAAAGAAAUCCAAGUUUCCAGGCCUUAUCUCAGACGCAUGAAAUCAGGAUCUUUAGAGGAGGCACCUGAAGCU